GACGAACGCUGGCGGCGUGCUUAAUACAUGCAAGUCGAACGGAAAGGCGCUGCUAAUGUGGGGGGCGAGAGUGGCGAAGGGGGGAGAAACAGGAGAGAAACCUGCCCUUGACCUGGGAAUAACCUGAGGAAACUGGGGCAAAUACCGGAGAGGAGCUCGUGCGGCAUGGAGGGGGUUGGAAAGGUUCGGCGGUUGGGUAUGGACUCGCGGCUUAACAGCUUGUUGGUGGGGUAGAGGCUUACCAAGGCCUUGACGGGUAGCCGGGCCGGGAGGGUUACCGUCCACAUUGGGACUGAGCUCCGGCCCAGACUCCUACUAGAGACAGCAGUUCAGAAUAUUGCACAAUGGGCGGAAGCCUGAUGCAGCGACGCCUCGUGCGGGAUGACGUCCUUCUCUUUGUAAACCGCUUUCGCCUGUGACGAUGCGUGAGUGACGGUAUUUGGUAAGGAAGCACCGGCUAACUACGUG
rnacentral:rRNA from 1 species